rnacentral:rRNA from 1 species
CCUACGGGAGGCAGCAGUGAGGAAUAUUGGUCAAUGGGCGGGAGCCUGAACCAGCCAAGUCGCGUGAGGGAAGACGGUCCUAUGGAUUGUAAACCUCUUUAGGCGGGGAGCAAUGCCGGGCACGCGUGCCCGGAGGGAGAGUACCCGCAGAAUAAGUAUCGGCUAACUCCGUGCCAGCAGCCGCGGUAAUACGGAGGAUGCGAGCGUUAUCCGGAUUUAGUGGGUUUAAAGGGGGCGUAGGCGGAUUUUUAAGUCAGCGGUAAAAUGUCCGGGCUCAACCCGGGCCGGCCGUUGAAACUGGGGAUCUUGAGUGGGCGAGAAGUAUGCGGAAUGCGUGGUGUAGCGGUGAAAUGCAUAGAUAUCACGCAGAAAUCCGAUUGCGAAGGCAGCAUACCGGCGCCCGACUGACGCUGAGGCACGAAAGCGUGGGGAUCGAACAGGAUUAGAUACCCGUGUAGUC